ACGUAGGUGGCGAGCGUUAUCCGGAUUUACUGGGCGUAAAGGGAGCGUAGGCGGAUGAUUAAGUGGGAUGUGAAAUACCCGGGCUCAACUUGGGUGCUGCAUUCCAAACUGGUUAUCUAGAGUGCAGGAGAGGAGAGUGGAAUUCCUAGUGUAGCGGUGAAAUGCGUAGAGAUUAGGAAGAACACCAGUGGCGAAGGCGACUCUCUGGACUGUAACUGACGCUGAGGCUCGAAAGCGUGGGGAGCAAACAGGAUUAGAUACCCUGGUAGUCCACGCCGUAAACGAUGGAUACUAGGUGUGGGGGUUUCAACACCUCCGUGCCGCCGCUAACGCAUUAAGUAUUCCGCCUGGGGAGUACGGUCGCAAGAUUA
rnacentral:rRNA from 1 species